CUCUUAUGGAGAGUUUGAUCCUGGCUCAGGACGAACGCUGGCGGCAUGCCUAAUACAUGCAAGUCGAGCGAACU
rnacentral:rRNA from 1 species